rnacentral:rRNA from 1 species
CUUUGGGAUAACCCUCGGAAACGGGGGCUAAUACCGAAUAGGACUUCUGGCCGCAUGGCUGGUGGUGGAAAGUUUUUCGGCUUGGGAUGGGCUCGCGGCCUAUCAGCUUGUUGGUGGGGUGAUGGCCUACCAAGGCGACGACGGGUAGCCGGCCUGAGAGGGCGACCGGCCACACUGGGACUGAGACACGGCCCAGACUCCUACGGGAGGCAGCAGUGGGGAAUAUUGCACAAUGGGCGGAAGCCUGAUGCAGCGACGCCGCGUGAGGGAUGACGGCCUUCGGGUUGUAAACCUCUUUCAGCAGGGACGAAGCGAGAGUGACGGUACCUGCAGAAGAAGCACCGGCCAACUACGUGCCAGCAGCCGCGGUAAGACGUAGGGUGCGAGCGUUGUCCGGAUUUAUUGGGCGUAAAGAGCUCGUAGGCGGCUUGUCGCGUCGACCGUGAAAACUUGGGGCUCAACCCCAAGCCUGCGGUCGAUACGGGCAGGCUAGAGUUCGGUAGGGGAGACUGGAAUUCCUGGUGUAGCGGUGAAAUGCGCAGAUAUCAGGAGGAACACCGGUGGCGAAGGCGGGUCUCUGGGCCGAUACUGACGCUGAGGAGCGAAAGCGUGGGGAGCGAACAGGAUUAGAUACCCUGGUAGUCCACGCUGUAAACGUUGGGCGCUAGGUGUGGGGGGCCUCUCCGGUUCCCUGUGCCGCAGCUAACGCAUUAAGCGCCCCGCCUGGGGAGUACGGCCGCAAGGCUAAAAC